GAUGUAGUCCCACUUGUUUAUUUUUGCUUUUGUUGCCUUUGUGUUGUGUGUCAGAUUGGUUUUUAGUUCUUUAGGGCAGUCUUACCUUUACAUUUCGGUAGUACCUUUCUAGUGCAAUGCUCCACAAAUGUUUUCUGAAUUCCUGCCGAAGAUUAGAAAAUUGACAGGUAGGGGGACUGCUACUGGAGAGAAAGCUUACUAAUUUCACCCAGAAAUGACAAUUGGUAAUCUGAUAGUGAGGGAAGAGACAGGAAAAAUCUGUAAAAGUAGGCAAAAUUUUGCCCAUCAUUUGGCAAAGAUUUUUAAAAUUGUAAUAUCCAAAAGAGAAUAUAGGAAAACAUUUUUGUGUAAUGCUGGUGGGAGUAGAGAAUUCAUAUAAUUUCCUUAGAAUGUAGUUUGGAAGACUGUACUAAAAAUCGUUAGGGGACUUCUGUGUGCCACAACUACUGAGCCUGCGGUCUAGAGCCCACGAGCCACAACUGCUGAGCCCACAUGCCACAACUGCUGAAGCCCACACACCUAGAGCCUGUGCUCCGCAACAAGGGAAGCCACUGCAAUGAGAAGCCUGCCCAGUGCAACUAAGAGUAGCCCCUGCUUGACGCAACUAGAGAAAGCCCGCGCGCAGCAACAAAGACCCAAUGCAGCCAAAAAUAAAAAAAAAUAAAAAUUAAAAAAAAUAAAAGUCGUUAGGGAAUUCCCUGGUGGUCCAGUGGUUAGGACUCUGCACUUUCAGUGCUGAGGGCCUGGGUUCAGUCCCUGGUUGGGGAACUAAGAUCCCACAAGCCACGUGGCGUGGCCAAAAAAAAAAAAAGUCAUUAAAGUACAUAAGUUGACCCACCAAUUAUACUUAUCCUAAGGAAAUCAUUUGAGAUGUGUAUACUUUUGUGUUCCCACAGUGAAUAGCAAAGCAGAACUACCUUCAUUUCUGACAAUAGAGAAUCAGUUAAACUAUGGGGCAAUCAUUCUAAGGAACUGUACACAUUGUGACCGUUAUAAAUUAUAUUUUCAAGGAAUAUUUAAUGAAGUGUAAAAAUGCUUAUGUGUUAAGUGAAAAAAGCAGGUUAUAAUAUAACUCUAAUUUAUAAAAUAUGUAUCUCUGUUAUCAUGUUAGCUUUUCUUCCUUGUGUUAGCGACCUCAGGCCUUAAAGAAAGCUUUGCAGCUCCAGGCGCCACAUCUUCCCACUAAUGACCCAAGCAGAAAGGAAGGGAGCAGUGAGGGCUCUCUUCUGUUGGCGCUCCAUCCCCAGGUGUAUUCCUCUUACAUCUUAUUGACCAGAGCUGGAUCAUAGAGCCACUCGGAGUUGCAGUGGAGGCUGGGAAAGGUUUUUGUUUAGUUUUUGGCUGUGCCGCAUAGCAUAUGGGAUCUUAGUUCCCCAACCAGGGAUUGAACCUGUGCCCCCUGCAGUGGGAGCGCAGUCUCAACCACUGGACCACCAGGGAAGUCCCCUUCUCUUCUUUUAAAAAAUAAUUUUUUUGAGGCAUAAUUUACAUACCACAAAAAUCACUCAUUUUAAGUGCACAAUUCUCAGUUAUAAAAAUGAUUCUAGAGAGACAGGUGGGGAACCGUGGAGAGUAGAAGAGGUGGAGAGUCUAGGUAGGUGGACUGAAAAUAGAGAUCAUGGAAUUCCCUGGUGGCCUAGUGGUUAGGACUCCGUGAUCUCACUGCCAAGGGCCUGGGUUCCAUCCCUGAUCAGGGAACUAAUAUCCCGAAAGCCACACGGCACAGCCGAAAAAAAAAACAAGAAGAGAAAAUAGAGAUCAAAGGAGAAGAUGGAGAGAAGAAAUGGUGCAGAUCUGAGAAGACAGAAUAGGGUAUCGAGGAGGGACUGAUAGGUGAUUCUCUCACCUGCACAUCGAGCUCCUGGCUUCGAGGGUCUUGCAGGAAGAACCGGAAGGCCGCCUCCCACACCGGGCAGUUGGUGUUAUAGACAGCCUGGAGAUGUGCAGGAUGUAAUCAAGUGAAGGAAGGACAGCUGUCAUCAGAAUCCUUCCCCUGGUGCUUCCCUGGUGGCACAGUGGUUAAGAAUCCACCUGCCAAUCCAGGGCACACGGGUUCGAGCCCUGUUGCGGGAAGAUCCCACAUGCUGCAGAGCAACUAAGCCCAUGCACUGCAACUACUGAGCUUGCGCUCUAGAGCCCGCGAGCCACAACUACUGAGCCUGUGCACCUAGAGCCCGUGCUCCGCAACAAGAGAAGCCACGACAAUGAGAAGCCCGCACACUGCAAUGAAGAGUAGCCCCUGCUCGCUGCAACUAGACAAAGCUUGCACACAGCAACAAAGACCCAAUGCAGCCAAAAAUAAAUAAAUAAAAUAAA